UNSGCGACCCCCGGGUCAAGGCGGGACUACUCCGCUGAGUUAAA
rnacentral:rRNA from 1 species